rnacentral:lncRNA from 1 species
AGCACUUUCCUGGAGGGUUCCAUAGCGAGGGACUGUGCCAAGGCUUUUUAAGGGAGUGAAGCAGAGAGGGAGCUGGAGGGGAUGCCCCAGAGAAGACGCUGCCGGCUCUGGUUUUCACACUGUAAUUUUGCUUUGAGUUCUUGGUGUGUGAGUCACAUGCGAAAGUCUCUUGUUUUUGCAAGGCCUGCGUCUGCUGCUGCUGCUGCCGCCUUCACAGCAGCUGCCACCUCUAGGUAGGAGGCCCGGAUCUCAGGCAGGACCCCCUGUCUGCCACUGGGUGCUGCAGAUAUGAGAGUGAAGCACAAGGACGGAGGACCGUAAUCUUGGGGCCCACUGCUGGGGAGGGGUUUUCCAUCUUUUGCAUCACAUGCAAAUGAAAUGCUAAUACAAUGCAAAUGAGUGGGUGCCCUCAGAGCCCAGAGGCUUGCUGGGUAAACCGUGUAGGGAGGCCACUCAGCUCUGGUUGGCCUCUGCCUUCCAGAAGAUGCUCAUCCCACCUUGCCCCCCAGGAGAGCCCUGGCUUUGGGCCGUUCUGAUACCUCCUUCUAGAAAUGCACCCUGGGCACUUAGUAAUCCCUGAGGGGCCUCAGAUCCUUGUGAGAAGUCGGUGGGGCAUAACCCCUAAAUUAAUAACUAAAAAGGAUCCUGUGGCUUCUGUUUGCUCCUUUGUGGCCUGUGCCCAGGCCUGGACACAUAAGGCCUGCUGAUCGGCCCAGGUCCAGCCAAGGGGCCAGGCUGGCCCAGCAAGGCCUCGGAGAUGUGGGACAGCCCUCUUCCCACCGGGCCGCACCCCUGGGCCUGGACAACAGGUUCUGAUGAGGCCAGGAAGCUGGCUGGAAAGGCUGACUCCUGGGAGGGAGUGUGGGGGCUGUUUAACAGCUGGCAGAGCCCCUGGAAAUUUCCCAGACAUGGUCCCCACUCUACCCAGACGGGGCCAGGGUGUUCAGAUGAGAAGAUGAGCCACGGGGGAAGCGGCGAGGAAGAGGGUGACAGGGAUCCCUCUUUCUCCUCCAGGGCCCAAGAAGGAGGAGGGCUUUGGCUUCCAGGAACGCAAAGGGCCCACCCCAUUGAGGGCACUGCUGCAGCGCUCGGAGGACAAGCCACAACAGUCCCCUAAGCCAGGCCCGGCCAGAUCCUGUCUUUUUCUGGGGGCCCAAAUUACACUCUCCCCAGUCUCCUCAGAGUCUGGCUUCAGCCUGAAGUGCUCCAGGCUCUGGGCUGGUGCGUUGCAGGGCGCUCCGUCUCUCCUGCCUGUCCGUCUCGCUCCCUGCCUCUCAUUUCACAGUUUAUCUUCUUAAGGAUCCAUUUCUUCUCGGCAGCCCCAGCGGGGUCCCAACAUCUCGCUCAAGCCAGCUGCAGGAUCUGAGCCUGAUGGCCCGGCCUGCCUUGCCCCCUGCUCCUGAAUAGACGUAGCUCCCCCGCCCCCCAUUGCAGGUCCCCUCCCCCCCGGGUGAGGGGAGGUGCUCGGUGGUCCCAGCCACGUGACUGGAGUCUCCUGCUUGUGCAGACUGCAGGGAUCUCCAAGGAUGAGGUCGGGCUGAGCUCAUUCAAGACGCCUCCGUGGCCUGAGGCUGAGGAUCUUUGUGAGAUGAAGAUGCGGCUGCUGGUCAGAGCCGCAUAGGGUACCCCCAUCUGCCCAGGCACGGGGGAUUGCAGGGUGACAGGGGAGCAGGGUCAGAGUUUGGUAGAGGGUUGUCCAAGAAAAAGAAAUCCUUGGGUUGAUAAGACCUGUCCUGUGAAGGUCCCCACGGGAAGUCCCCAGGCACCUGAGCCUUAGUUGCUGGGAAAAUUCGACACCUCCUUGAUGGCCUCAUCCUGGACAGACACGCGCCACUCAUGGUCUCCUCACACCCCUUUAGGUGAGGGGCCACCCGGAGGCCCGCUCACCCACGGCCCCUCCAACACAGAGGGGCAUGUGUCGAAAACAGCAGGGACCAAACGCCUUUGAGCCACCAGAAUGACCUCUCCCUGGAGACCCAAGGGGACGGUGGGUUUCCAAGAAGAGGUGGCUUCCCCAUGUCUGUGCCCUGCUGUCGUUGGAAACACAUCCUCCCCUUUCAUCAUCUGAAGAUUUCUUUAAAAGGGUUUUGUGCUGCGGCAGUUCGGGGUGAAGUUCGGAGGAUCUGAUUCUAAAAGGCUUUUUCUCCACCCAAGACCCUCAGAGAGUUGCCCUCGAGACACUUGAGAGGCAAAACAGGGCUCAGGAGUUUGGUUGUGGCUUUGGGAUCCUGAAUGUUUUCCCUUCCGAGCUGUUCACAUGUAAGUGAAGAUUAUUCAGCCGGGACUUUUAUUGUAAAUUAAUUUCAAAACCAAGUCUGGGGGUGAAGAAUGAUGGCGUUUGUUCAUCAGCCCAACCUGUGUUUCCUUCCAGAAGAAAGCCGGAUGCCGUUGAGCAAGAGCUGGGAAUGUGAGGCUUGCCCUGAUCGCAGCCAUGUCAAGGGUCCUGACAUUGUCGCCGUCUUUUCCUUCGAGGGGAUGUGCUCAGGGAAGAGGUGAAACGGGAGAUGCCGAGGAGAAUCCGUGCUGGGGGCUGUGAACCUCCACCUACGGUCCAGGCCCCAGGAAUGCCACAGCUUCCUGAGUUGGGGCUGCCAGAGCCUUGGCCAGGCCCCAGCUUGCCUGCUGGAGAGUCUGUAGGUGUCUCCCCGGGUGUGCUGAGAUACGCGUUCUUGCUUUUUUCCGAACCCGAGGCCACACAGCGUGCUGUUUUGUCACUUGCCAAGCCAUGAGCGGCACAGUAGAUAUUUCCUUUCACCGCCCGAUCAGCUUGACUGCGUCUCUUCCCAAGCUCCUCUGGAAGUGUCCCUCUUCGGUAGAGAUGGGCCGGCAGGCCUGGAAGAGUGGUGUGAGGCCCUCCGGGACCACAUCGCAAGCUUUCCGAGUCCGGGGGAUCAGCGCACUCAUUUCUCGAGAGGUGGUUUGCUGCGGACACUGGCCCACGCCUGCAGCCCUGCACUGCCGACCCCCAGGUCACCCCAGGCCCACUUCUGCCUGGCCCAGAGCCUGAGCUGUGUUCUGUUCAGCUGGUGUCUUGGUGAGUCAGCCUGGUCGGAGAGCCCACCUUGCAAGGAGAGGGAUGCAGGAUGGGCCAAAGGCCAUCAGAAGCCAUCAGGUCCCAGGUGGCAGGUGGAGGGCGGUUCUGAGCUUGCAUGGGCUUGUGGGCCCUUGGAAGAUCUGAUGAAAAUAGGAGACUUCUGGAGUUCCCAUCGUGGUGCAGCGGAAACAAAUCCGACUAGGAACCAUGAGGUUGCAGGUUCGAUCCCUGGCCUCGCUCAGUGGGUUAAGGGUCUGGCGUUGCCGUGAGCUGUGGUGGAGGUCACAGACGAGGCUCCGAUCUGGUGUUGCUGUGGCUGUGGUGUAGGCCGGCGGCUAUAGCUCCUAUUAGACCCCUAGCCUGGGAACCUCCAUAUGCCGCAGGUGCGGCCCUAAGAAAGACAAAAAAAAAAGAAAAGAAAAUAGGAGGCUUCUCAGGUAAAACACCCACAUCUGCCCGGUUCUGUAUACAAUUCCACAGAUGGCAGGUGAGGAACCCCUGAGGGCAGCAGUUUUCCUGGGGACCUGUGAUGACCUGGAGACCCAUUCCUCGGCCUUCUAGGAAUGUAUGUCAAGGCCCUGGGAAGGCUGUGACCUCAGCCCUUCCCCAUUACACAGGGCAGGGCCUCCUUCACAGAGCAGCGGUGUCGGCCCCGGGAACAGAUGGAUGGACGGGCAGAUGAAGAGAUGCACGCAUGCGUGGAUCUGGAGGCCAGGGACUAGGGUGUGAGCUUCCCCGGCGAUAAUGCUGAUCACAGCCAGCAUUCGCUGCAGCUGUAGCAGCGGCCAGGCGCUCCCCUCAUGCGCCUGACUUCACCCAAUCCCAUGAAAGGAAGGUACUGUGAUUAUAAGUGAGUUGACUUUUUACAGCGCUGGAAGCAGGCUGAGACUUGUGCAAGGCCACACAGCCUUGCGCGUGGGAAGCCAGAAUAUCUGUGCUCGACCUCGAAGCUGCACGGCCUGCAUGGAGGGCAGGAGGGAGUCGCGUGAGCUGACAAGGUAGGUGUUCCGUCUGCCAGGACCCACUGGGAACUCUGGGCCUGGGCCUGGCUUCCCAGCAGGCAUGGAGAAUGCUUGGUUGUGGCUCAGCAGAAAUGCACCUGACGAGUAUCCGUGAGGAUGCAGGUUCAAUCCCUGGCCUCACUCAGUGGGUUAAGGAUCCCCCACUGUUACUGUUGCUGUGGCGUCAGCUGGCAGCUGCCGUUUCAACUCAACCCCUCGCCUGGGAACUUCCAUGUGCUGUGGAUGUAGCCCUAAAAAGAC